AUGAGGAGCUUGCUCUUCAAAUCGAGUGGCGAACGGGUGAGUAACGCGUGAGGAACCUGCCUCAAAGAGGGGGACAACAGUUGGAAACGACUGCUAAUACCGCAUAAGCCCACGGCUCGGCAUCGAGCAGAGGGAAAAGGAGCAAUCCGCUUUGAGAUGGCCUCGCGUCCGAUUAGCUAGUUGGUGAGGUAAUGGCCCACCAAGGCGACGAUCGGUAGCCGGACUGAGAGGAAGGUCCCCACAUUGGAACUGAGACACGGUCCAAACUCC
rnacentral:rRNA from 1 species